GACGUCAGUGGCUUCAGUUGAUUAGAGCGUCGCACCGGUGUCGCGAGGUCACGGCUUCAAACCCCGUUGAAGUCC
rnacentral:tRNA from 1 species